rnacentral:lncRNA from 1 species
CGGAAAAUGGCCAGCAGUAAACAGACGAAGAGACGACCAGGGACUGUGCAAGAUGAAUUUCCAGCGCGCAGUCCUGAUACUCGCGGUGUUGUCAAUGCUGUCAGUGUUGGUAGUGACAGCACCCAACGAUCUCAGGCCGAGGAAGAGGUUUGGUUUCAGGAGUAGGUUUAACCGCAGGAAAUCACUCGGUAUCUGGGCUCCUGACAUUGACAACCGCUUCUGGCAUGGCUAUGACAUAGACGGCUAUACCAGGAACGGAUGAGGAGGUGGACCAUGACGACUGAAACGCCUUGGAUGCUGUAGUUUCAUCUGUUACGUCUCGCUUCAUCUCACAAGCCUUUCUUAAUAUCAAGAUCAUCGUCAUCUUUUCACCUCGUAAAUGUCAGAAAGUCAGCGUAAAAGAGAGAGAGAGAGAGAGAGAGAGAGAGAGUCUGUUAGAUUUAAGGAAUAGUAUUAAGUGUAUGGAACAGAGUCGAGAGAUGCAAAGAAAUAUAUUAUGGUUCCUAUCUAUGUUUUUUUUUUAUUAUAUAUAUAAGGUACGGCGAAUAAAGCUGUAAAAGCCC